rnacentral:rRNA from 1 species
CGUGUAGGCGGGUCUGUAAGUCAGAUGUGAAAUGCCGCAGCUUAACUGCGGAGCUGCAUUUGAAACUGCAGAUCUUGAGUGAUGGAGAGGUAAACGGAAUUCCCGGUGUAGCGGUGAAAUGCGUAGAGAUCGGGAGGAACACCAGUGGCGAAGGCGGUUUACUGGACAUUAACUGACGCUGAGGCGCGAAAGCGUGGGGAGCAAACAGGAUUAGAUACCCUGGUAGUCCACGCUGUAAACGAUGGAUACUAGGUGUGGGGGGACUGACCCCUUCCGUGCCGGAGUUAACACAAUAAGUAUCCCACCUGGGGAGUACGGUCGCAAGAUUAAA